AUGAAGAAGAUGCAGAUGAUCGAAGAAAAUGUGAACAAAGACUCUGAAAGAAGGGAGCUUCUUCCCAAGAGCAGGGAACUGGGAACACAGAGACCGGAAGGAAGCCUGGGAGUAAAGAGGGGGGCUCGAAGGGAAGAGAAGAGAAAUGGCCAAAGGAGCUCACGACUGAAAGACCGGGGAGAAGGGGACAAGCUACAGGAGGCCGGGGAGCGCCUCGUGGAUGCAGACGUGGACGCGCAGCUCUGGGGCCUGGAGCAAGAGGCCGAGCCAUGUGGACAAGGACGGGGAGAGCAAGAACCAGAGCCAGAGGAUGAGGAGGAAGGAAAGCACGGACACGAAGAGGAGGAGGAGGAGGCCUGGAGGAAGCACAGAGAGGAGCCCAGCUCCCCUGGCUCUGGGCCAUUGGGCCUGGGGAGGAGGCUGCUGGGGGAGGAGGCUCCCGGGGAAGAGGCUCCUGGGGAGGAGGCUGCUGGGGGAGAAGGCUCCCAGGGAAGAGGCUCCUGGGGAGGAGGCUGCUGGGGGAGGAGGCUGCUGGUGGGGAGGCUCCUGGGGAGGAGGCUCCUGGGGGAGGAGGCGCCUGGGGGAGGAGGCUGCUGGGGGAGGAGGCUCCUGGGGAGGAGGCUGCUGGGGGAGGAGGCUGCUGGGGGAGGAGGCUCCCGGGGGAGGAGGCUGCUGGGGGAGGAGGCUCCCGGGGAGGAGGCUGCUGGGGGAGGAGGCUCCUGGGGAGAAGGCUCCCAGGGAAGAGGCUCCUGGGGAGGAGGCUGCUGGGGGAGGAGGCUCCUGGGGAGAAGGCUCCCAGGGAAGAGGCUCCUGGGGAGGAGGCUGCUGGGGGAGGAGGCUCCUGGGGAGAAGGCUCCCAGGGAAGAGGCUCCUGGGGAGGAGGCUGCUGGGGGAGGAGGCUCCCGGGGAGGAGGCUGCUGGGGGAGGAGGCUGCUGGGGAGAAGGCUCCCAGGGAAGAGGCUCCUGGGGAGGAGGCUGCUGGGGGAGGAGGCUGCUGGUGGGGAGGCUCCUGGGGAGGAGGCUCCUGGGGGAGGAGGCGCCUGGGGGAGGAGGCUGCUGGGGGAGGAGGCUCCUGGGGAGGAGGCUGCUGGGGGAGGAGGCUGCUGGGGGAGGAGGCUCCCGGGGGAGGAGGCUGCUGGGGGAGGAGGCUGCUGGGGGAGGAGGCUCCUGGGGGAAGAGGCUCCUGGGGGAGGAGGCUGCUGGGGGAGGAGGCUCCUGGGGGAAGAGGCUCCUGGGGGAGGAGGCUGCUGGGGGAGGAGGCUCCUGGGGAGGAGGCUGCUGGGGGAGGAGGCUCCUGGGGGAGGAGGCUCCUGGGGGAGGAGGCUGCUAGGGGAGGAGGCUCCCGGGGAGGAGGCUUCUGGGGGAGGAGGCUCCCGGGGGAGGAGGCUCCCGGGCAGGAGGCUCCUGGGGGAGGAGGCUGCUGGGGGAGGAGGCUGCUGGGGGGAGGCUCGGGGAUGCUACUCCUCGGAAGACCCCGCAGGCCAGGCCGGCAGCAGCCUUCACCGGGAGCACAGGCCAGAAGAGCGCCGCGGCCACUGGGUGCUGCCCGCGGUCCUGGUCGCCGGACUCCCCGCUGACCGUGCUGUGCACCGACGAUCUGAGGACGAGGACGGGGACGGUGGGGCGACCGGCUCCCCCGGGUGCUGUGAGGGUGACGGGAGCGCCGAGGGGAGGCAGGGGCGCACUCAGGGUCGGGUGGAGAAAAAGGCCAAGCCCAAGCUCCCCUCGGCUCCUGGGUUGGUCUACGGUGCGUUGUCGGCUGACGCAGGGACGGCUGCAUACCAAGGUGACAGGGCACACUACUGUACGUGUCGCCACGGUGCUCGGGAGAGCGGUGGCGGUGGUGGCGGCGGCGGGCACCCAGGGCCGCAGGCUACGGGACAAGGGACAGAAGGAAACUGGUCCUGUGGAGGAAAACCGUCGGCCAGAGGAACAAUGCCAGAGCCCUCUUACACACGCGUGUACGCACACGCAGACUCCUGGCAGGCUCUCCUCCCCGACGGGAGUAAAUACCCUCUCUGCUUAACCGAUGGUCUGAAACUCUUCUAUGGACAUUUUUAG
rnacentral:lncRNA from 1 species